rnacentral:rRNA from 1 species
UACGUAGGGUGCGAGCGUUGUCCGGAAUUAUUGGGCGUAAAGAGCUUGUAGGCGGUUUGUCGCGUCUGCUGUGAAAAUCCGGGGCUCAACCCCGGACUUGCAGUGGGUACGGGCAGACUAGAGUGUGGUAGGGGGAGACUGGAAUUCCUGGUGUAGCGGUGGAAUGCGCAGAUAUCAGGAGGAACACCGAUGGCGAAGGCAGGUCUCUGGGCCGUUGCUGACGCUGAGGCGCGACGAGCGUGGGGAGGCAAACAGG